UUUUAGCUGGGGGUGGGACGAGGAGGUGUGGAGGAAGAAGUCCUCCUUGUCUUGUUUGUGACUUUCCCAAUGUGGAGAAUAUUAAGCUAAAAGCAUUGCCUAGAAAAACUGGUUUGGGCUUCAACAACCUUGACCCUUUUCUCUGCUCAGUCCUUUGGGAUCCUAUUUCUUGGUGCUAAGAAGGGGUUCAUUCUCAAGUUAACCUAUUUCCUAUAAAAGGAAACCAGACUCAUGUCCCAGCCUCCCAUGGGACUGACUCAGCUUUGCCUCCCACAUUGCAGAUGGAUUACCGGGCCUUGGUGCAUGAGCGAGAUGAGGCAGCCUAUGGGGAGCUCAGGGCCAUGGUGCUGGACCUGAGGGCCUUCUAUGCUGAGCUUUAUCAUAUCAUCAGCAGCAACCUGGAGAAAAUUGUCAACCCAAAGGGUGAAGAAAAGCCAUCUAUGUACUGAACCCAGGACUAGAAGGAAAAUAAAUGAUCUAUAUGUUGUGUGGAUUC
rnacentral:sRNA from 1 species